AGGGGUGUGGUCUACCGGUAUGAUGUCGCUUUCACAGAGCGAAGGCACGCGGUUCAAUUCCGCGCACCCCUA
rnacentral:tRNA from 1 species